rnacentral:lncRNA from 1 species
AAAAAUAAUUUAUAUAAAUAUUAGUGAAAGGGGAAGAAAGAUUAGGGUAGGGAGGAUAAAUUGGGUUUUGGUACCCUUUUUGCAUUGUUAUAAUAUUUUAGUUUUCAUGUUUUGAUCACGUUGUGUUGAAAUUUUUAUAAAAAUAACAUUUGGUCUGCCAUAGAUUGGGUGUCUGUCUAGGGCAAUGCCUAUCUCUGUAAUAAGAUUAAUGCUUCUGGAAAUGACCAUAGACAUAGAAGAAUGGAAGUCAUAAACAUCAAAUUAAUUGACAAUUUUUUGGAAAGAAACUCCCUACUCACCUUCCCCAAAUUAAAAAAUAAUUACAAUCUUGACGACAAUCUGUCUACACAACAUCAACACAUUAUCACCACAUUAAAAGAAGCAUUUCAUAUUUCUUCCUUAGACCAAUCAAUGGAUACUCUACAAUCCUCCAAUUUAGAAACGAUACUUCUGAAAAAUCCAGAAGAGAAACACACAAUCUCCUCUUGCUACUACUACAUGUCCUCAUUUCCUAAUAACAAAAAUGCAAUCUAUGAUAGCAUGGGAAUGGAACUUAACUUAUCAGAUUGGUACAAAAUCAAAGAUGCAUUAAAAGGAAAGACUUCAUGUUCAAACCAUGUUGAAAACCAUUAAGGGUUAUUUACCGCUGGUAUAUGGUACCUACUAAACUUAAAGAUAUGUUCGCAGACUCUUCAGACCUUUGCUGGAGAGGGUGCGGAGGAUCAAAGAGAUAUAUACCACAUAUGGUGACGGUACACCAAACUCAAAUCCUUCUGGUAUUUCAUUUUAACUCUGAUCCAAACUAUUGCCCCUACUAUCCCAACUCUCUCACCGCAAAUUGGAAUAUUUAAACUCCUCCCACAUUUUUCUAAAUAAAACAGAAAAGAUUGUAAUGUCACACAUUCUAAUCGCAGCCACCACACUUCUGCCAAGAUAUUAGAAAACCUCAAAUAUCCCAUCAAAACAAGAAAUUAUUGCAUCUAUGUCAUGGUUCUGAUCAGGUAUGACAGGAGACUUAUUUCAGGUAGUUUAUUUGAUUUUCAGGCAUGGUUCGGACAAAGGAAACAAUAUGAAUAACAUGAUAAACCGAGAAAAGGGAAUAAUAAAGAUAAAGGAAGAAAACAGAACCUAUACACAGAAUUACAGGUGAGUAAGAAAUUAGACGUUAGGCAAUAUUCCCCAAAUCAGGAAUACAGGAAAUAGGAAAACAAUUAGUUAAAACUAAAACAGGAAUAUAAAGGAUAAAGUAAAACAGCAUAAAGUAACAAUUGAAGUGAUCAGCCUCUUUGGUUUGUAAACAGAAUGGUAGAUUCAGGUUGGAUGAGGAUACUUGCAAAAUAAUAAGAAUGUCAGUAAUAUCCAGGCAGAUUGGGAGGAAAUCGAUAUGAAACCAAAGUCCAGUUUAGAAAUAAAGCAGGGUUCUAUUGGAUGAAUCAAGAUGGGAUGAAUCAGGAAGGUUGUUGUUAAGUAAGGGUGGAGCAGGUUGUCAGAUUCAGUUGAGUCAGGAACAGGUCUUUAUCAGUAUCAGGUAAUAAACAAAUCUCAUUAGGAGCAGAACACAAUUUCUCUCUCAAUGUAAAGGCCACUUGGUUUGUCAGGUGUAGCCUUUUAUAACAGACUUGGAAUCUCAUGCUAUUCAGCUAAGAGUGACUGAGGAGACUAGUGGCUGGGGAGGCCACUUAAAGCGAGAAACAGGUGUUGCAUGAAAUAAACAGAAUAAUAACUUUGUUGUCAGGAUAGGAUCCUGACAAUCUAUUAGAGAAAACAAGAGUUACAAACUCGCGACACGACCACCAUCUCCUUCACAUGCAAAACUAAGUGCAUUCUGGGAUAAUUGGGAACGCACGACA